AGACAACCAGAUAUUCUGGCCAGACCAUGUCACUGACAGCUGCUGCAUGUGGCCUCAGCUCCCGGGAGACAACAUGCCUUCAGAAUUAGCUCGCUGGACCAGCCUGGAGCAUUCAGGCAGCUCCCCAACACCCUGCACACAAUGCCCAGACCCACUGGACCAGACAGACAGAGCCCGCCUCCAACAAGGGCACCCACCAGUGCUGAAUGGGAUCGAGUAGACGAAGCUCCCUGGAAUCUGCUCAGCGGCUCUUCGGUACCAGAGAGGGAAAUGGUCUGCGUUAAAAAUGUUCUCCUUGUCGCCAGCUUUCAGGAAGUCCCUUGAAGUGGAAAAGAAUCAGAAGAACAUGCAUCACUCAGCAGAGUAAAGGUGGGCCUGGAGCACCCCGACAGCCUUCAUCAGACAUGAAAUUCUUCAUAAACCUGACCUGGACGGUGUGAGGAGGAGCCUCUGUUGCCUGGCCCAUGGCAGGAUGCAUUGCUACUCUCUACCCUGGGUCACAGGUGCAGCCACGACUGAGCAGAAGGUGUUCGCACUCCCAGCAGGUCUGUUCAGUGGUCAUUACAGCUAAGAGGUGCCCUGUCUAUGCAGCACAGGUUAAUGAUGCCCACAGGGGACCUUUUUCCAGAGUCAUGGUAGAUGAGAUGGUGGCUUGGUUAGAAGGUAUGAAGUGGUCCUCACUUAAGGCAGUGACAUUCAGGCUUUGGGGGUGGCUGGCAAUAGAUCUGGAAUGCUGCACAUCUGGGUGUCCAGUGCCCUGCUGCCCGGGACAGUGCUGGCACCUAGGGCAGCCAGCAGGAGCCUGCAGCACUUGAUCCCCAUUAGCCCUGGUGUCACUGCGAAAGGACUGAGUUGCCGGGAAACCCUGGAGGCCUCUGCCAACUACUAGGCAGCAAUUCUGGAGGAAACAGGAAGGAGCAACCUGAUUUUACAGAAUCCCAAAAAUGUUCUUCAGGAAGAAAGAUCCUUCUGGGUAAGGUGAAAGUCUCCUCCUGGAUACUAGGAGCUAUUGCAGUGGUGUGUCAGGCUGGUCUAGAUUCUGGGAAGAACUGGGUGACUCUGAGUGAGUAAUUGAGUCUCCGACCCCCAUUUACUCAUCUACAAAAUGGGAACAAUAAAAACGCUGCACUUUACCAGGGUUGUAUCAGAAUUACAUAACACCAUAUGUGAAAGAGUGUUAUGGACACUGAAAACAGGCUCUAACAAAUAUAUGGGAUUCUUAAAGCCCAAGAGCUCUUUUGUUCUUGGUGGUUGAAAGGGCAGGGGUAAAGUGGUCAUCUUCUUAACUUAAGGCUGUACGCUGUGAAGGCUAACAUCACUGGAUGCUAUAUGCAUGUGAUGUGAGAAGUCGUACUGAAGGCACAGAAUGUAUUAUAACUAUUGGGGGUGACGGCCAAGUUUCAGUAUAAUCGACCUACUUCCAAAUGCAGGUGGCGGGGGUAUGGGAUGAAAUCUCAGUGUAGGAGACUGAUGAUAGUAUGAGAUAAUUGCAGGGUAGCAACUUUAUAUUAUCAAGUUCUCUGCCCAAUACUUAAAGCUCUGCCUUUCAUGCCCUAGUCAAAAGCAAAAACUAAACCAAAAGUCAGAAAUGCUAAAAACUUUCUAAGCCUGGCUUAGAGAGUGUAUCCAAAUAGCUGGAUCUUGACAAAUACCAUUUGAUGGGAGGGGAUAGGCAGGUAAGACCCUAAGACAAUAGAUGUCAAGGUGCCUCUAUAUGAAGCAAUGACAGGAGUUUCUUGAAGACAGAUUUCAUCCAUUCAAAUUGUCAAUGAGUACCCACUCUGUGGGUCACG
rnacentral:lncRNA from 1 species